rnacentral:rRNA from 1 species
AUUGAACGCUGGCGGCAGGCCUAACACAUGCAAGUCGAGCGAGCGGCGGACGGGUGAGUAAUGUCUGGGAAACUGCCUGAUGGAGGGGGAUAACUACUGGAAACGGUAGCUAAUACCGCAUACCAUCAGAUGUGCCCAGAUGGGAUUGGCUGGUAGGUGGGGUAACGGCUAACAUAGGCGACGAUCCCUAGCUGGUCUGAGAGGAUUACCAGCCACACGGGAACUGCGACACGGUCCAGACUCUAACGGGAGGAAGAAGUGGGGAAUAUUGCACAAGGGGCGAAAGCCUGAUGCAGCCAUGCCGCGUGUAUGAAGAAGGCCUUCGGGUUGUAAAGUACUUUCAGCGGGGAGGCGUUACCCGCAGAGGAAGCAACGGCUAACUCCGUGCCAGCCGCCGCGGUAAUUC